CGGAGGUCCAGAAACAGGGCUACCCGCCAAUCGCGUGGUGACAGAGGACAGAGGGUCCUAAGGACAGAUGAGGAUGUUCUUGAUUUUGUACUCCAAGUAAAUGUAUUUAAGAAUGGUUACCCCAACCUCUGAGAAAUCUGAAAGUGGCAGCUGGAAAUGCCAGACAGGAUAUGAGCAAAGUUACCCAGCAGCACCAGCGGGAACUGAGCCAAUGAAAACCCU
rnacentral:lncRNA from 1 species